GUCCAGUAUCCAUGCCGUAGUACUACAACACCAACACCAAAACUACAACAGAUUCAUGCAAUACCCAACACCAUCCUUCAGAGGAGGACAGUGUUCCUUCUCGAGGUGUUUAACCAUCCCUAGAAAGUCAGUGUGCCUUCUCAAGGUUUCCUAGCGUCCCUGGAAAGAGUGGUCCCUCUCUAUGUUCCUUCUCAAUCUUUCACCCCUAUGGGGGGUGAAAGAUUGCUCUUCUCCUUUAGAUGGUUUAGGCCUUUAAGAGUUGUUUAAUCUGGGCCUCUGAAGCCCUUUGGUACUGUUUCUUAGAUAAAGGACCAGACUAAUAAAAUAGACUGGAAAUGUAACAAAAUAUUGAUCUAAUGUCAAUAUAAUAAUAAAAUAUUAUCUACAUGUUAGAUGUCUUAAUUUCGUCCGUGUUUGAAAAUGUUUUUAGUUCGCCUUAACAAGAGCUGCUUUAUGUCCAGCUGGAGGUGGCAUGAGGGUGCUGGUAUAGAUUCACCUCUGGAAGUCCCCUCGGCAUGUGCAGACUAAUUCAGUGGUCUGAACACUCAAUAAUAGGGACAUGAACAAGCAGGAAAACCGCUGACGUGGAUAAUCUGAGAAAACAUCCAUUUGGGGUGGCCAUUGGGUUGCCCAAUCACGGGCGACUUGUCUUCCUUGGGUGGUGGGCGGUGGCCAACCGAGGCCAAUGUGGACACAGCGCUGCUCCUCUGUUGUCCCAGGGAACAAGACCUCCAGCGCAAGAGGGAGUACCAGCAGGAGAUCAAGGAGAUCAAGGAGCGAGUGAAGGAGAGACCUCUGCUCCUGGAACAAGUGGCGCAGAGGAACGCCAAGACGGCAGUAGAGCGGCGUUACACGGAGGCUCUGCGUGGGUGUGGCCUGACGGACGACUUCCUGUCUAGGACAGGAAAUGGCACUCCCAAGUCCGUACACAAGACCUCUAGCGCCUCCAGAUCUAGCUGCAACUCCGACUCCCCUGUUGGCUGUCGGAAGAAGUCCCUUGAUGUCCACAGCCUGAGCUCAGACCUCGUUGGAGGAGAGACCAAACAUGGAGAGGAGGAGGAGGAAGAGGAGGAGGAGGAGGAGGAGGAGGAGUGCAAGGGAGAGCGCUUGGUAAGAAGUCACGAGGAGGACAGUGUCCAGUCGGCGGAUGAAAGCUACCACUACUCUGACGACCAGGAGAACUUCUCAGACAGUCAGGAGACCUACUCGGACGAGAGUGAGCAGGAGGAGGGGCAGCAGGAGGAACAGGGUGACAAGACAAGCCUGCAUGUCGAAAACAGCAGCACAUUAAGCAAGGCAAGCGAUGAGAACUAG
rnacentral:lncRNA from 1 species